rnacentral:rRNA from 1 species
GAUGAACGCUGGCGGCGUGCCUAAUACAUGCAAGUCGAGCGAACAGACGAGGAGCUUGCUCCUCUGACGUUAGCGGCGGACGGGUGAGUAACACGUGGAUAACCUACCUAUAAGACUGGGAUAACUUCGGGAAACCGGAGCUAAUACCGGAUAAUAUAUUGAACCGCAUGGUUCAAUAGUGAAAGACGGUUUUGCUGUCACUUAUAGAUGGAUCCGCGCCGCAUUAGCUAGUUGGUAAGGUAACGGCUUACCCAGGCGACGAUGCGUAGCCGACCUGAAAGGGUGAUCGGACACACUGGAACUGAGACACGGUCCAGACUCCGACGGGAGGCAGCAGUAGGGAAUCUUCCGCGAUGGGCGAAAGCCUGACGGAGCAAAGCCGCGUGAGUGAUGAAGGUCUUCGGAUCGUAAAACUCUGUUAUUAGGGAAGAACAAAUGUGUAAGUAACUAUGCACGUCUUGACGGUACCUAAUCAGAAAGCCACGGCUAACUACGUG